rfam:Schistosoma rodhaini strain Burundi genome assembly, scaffold: SROB_scaffold0006286
AUCCAGAUGACGAGUCCCAAAUAGGACGAAACGUGCGUCCUGGAU